rnacentral:rRNA from 1 species
UCGCUACUACCGAUUGAAUGGUUUAGUGAGGCCUCGGGACUGAUGCUCAUGAGGUGGCAACACCACAUCUGCACCGGGAACUUGGACAAACUUGAUCAUUUAGAGGAAGUAA